rnacentral:rRNA from 1 species
AGAGUUUGAUCCUGGCUCAGAUUGAACGCUGGCGGCAUGCCUUACACAUGCAAGUCGAACGGCAGCACGAGAGCUUGCUCUUGGUGGCGAGUGGCGAACGGGUGAGUAAUAUAUCGGAACGUACCCUAGAGUGGGGGAUAACGUAGCGAAAGUUACGCUAAUACCGCAUACGAUCUACGGAUGAAAGUGGGGGAUCGCAAGACCUCAUGCUCAUGGAGCGGCCGAUAUCUGAUUAGCUAGUUGGUGGGGUAAAAGCUCACCAAGGCGACGAUCAGUAGCUGGUCUGAGAGGACGACCAGCCACACUGGAACUGAGACACGGUCCAGACUCCUACGGGAGGCAGCAGUGGGGAAUUUUGGACAAUGGGCGCAAGCCUGAUCCAGCAAUGCCGCGUGAGUGAAGAAGGCCUUCGGGUUGUAAAGCUCUUUUGUCAGGGAAGAAACGGUGGACUCUAAUACAGAUCACUAAUGACGGUACCUGAAGAAUAAGCACCGGCUAACUACGUGCCAGCAGCCGCGGUAAUACGUAGGGUGCAAGCGUUAAUCGGAAUUACUGGGCGUAAAGCGUGCGCAGGCGGUUGUGCAAGACAGAUGUGAAAUCCCCGGGCUCAACCUGGGAAUUGCAUUUGUGACUGCACGGCUAGAGUGUGUCAGAGGAGGGUAGAAUUCCACGUGUAGCAGUGAAAUGCGUAGAGAUGUGGAGGAAUACCGAUGGCGAAGGCAGCCCCCUGGGAUAACACUGACGCUCAUGCACGAAAGCGUGGGGAGCAAACAGGAUUAGAUACCCUGGUAGUCCACGCCCUAAACGAUGUCUACUAGUUGUCGGGUCUUAAUUGACUUGGUAACGCAGCUAACGCGUGAAGUAGACCGCCUGGGGAGUACGGUCGCAAGAUUAAAACUCAAAGGAAUUGACGGGGACCCGCACAAGCGGUGGAUGAUGUGGAUUAAUUCGAUGCAACGCGAAAAACCUUACCUACCCUUGACAUGUCUGGAAUCCUUGAGAGAUCAGGGAGUGCUCGAAAGAGAAUCAGAACACAGGUGCUGCAUGGCUGUCGUCAGCUCGUGUCGUGAGAUGUUGGGUUAAGUCCCGCAACGAGCGCAACCCUUGUCAUUAGUUGCUACGAAAGGGCACUCUAAUGAGACUGCCGGUGACAAACCGGAGGAAGGUGGGGAUGACGUCAAGUCCUCAUGGCCCUUAUGGGUAGGGCUUCACACGUCAUACAAUGGUACAUACAGAGGGCCGCCAACCCGCGAGGGGGAGCUAAUCCCAGAAAGUGUAUCGUAGUCCGGAUUGUAGUCUGCAACUCGACUACAUGAAGUUGGAAUCGCUAGUAAUCGCGGAUCAGCAUGUCGCGGUGAAUACGUUCCCGGGUCUUGUACACACCGCCCGUCACACCAUGGGAGCGGGUUUCACCAGAAGUGGGUAGCCUAACCGCAAGGAGGGCGCUCACCACGGUGGGAUUCGUGACUGGGGUGAAGUCGUAACAAGGUA